GCGGGGGUAGCCAAGCUUGGCCAACGGCGCAGGACUUAAGAUUCUGUCCUUAGUGGUUCAAGGGUUCGAAUCCCUUCCCCCGCACCA
rnacentral:tRNA from 5 species